rnacentral:rRNA from 1 species
AGCGAACGCUGGCGGCAGGCUUAACACAUGCAAGUCGAGCGGGCGUAGCAAUACGUCAGCGGCAGACGGGUGAGUAACGCGUGGGAACAUACCUUUUGGUUCGGAACAACACAGGGAAACUUGUGCUAAUACCGGAUAAGCCCUUACGGGGAAAGAUUUAUCGCCGAAAGAUUGGCCCGCGUCUGAUUAGCUAGUUGGUGAGGUAACGGCUCACCAAGGCGACGAUCAGAGCUGGUCUGAGAGGAUGAUCAGCCACAUUGGGACUGAGACACGGCCCAAACUCCUACGGGAGGCAGC